GCCGGGGUACCCGAGCGGUCUAAGGGGCCGGCCUGGAGAGCCGGUGCCCCGAUAAGGGGCGCGCGGGUUCGAAUCCCGCCCCCGGCGCCA
rnacentral:tRNA from 1 species